rnacentral:rRNA from 1 species
AAGCAGGGGAUCGCAAGACCUUGUGCUUUUAGAGCGGCCGAUGCCUGAUUAGCUUGUUGGUGAGGUAAAAGCUUACCAAGGCUUCGAUCAGUAGCUGGUCUGAGAGGACGGCCAGCCACACUGGGACUGAGACACGGCCCAGACUCCUACGGGAGGCAGCAGUGGGGAAUUUUGGACAAUGGGGGCAACCCUGAUCCAGCCAUGCCGCGUGAGUGAAGAAGGCCUUCGGGUUGUAAAGCUCUUUCAGCCGGAACGAAACGGUUACGGUUAAUACCCGUGAUUACUGACGGUACCGGAAGAAGAAGCACCGGCUAACUACGUGCCAGCAGCCGCGGUAAUACGUAGGGUGCGAGCGUUAAUCGGAAUUACUGGGCGUAAAGCGUGCGCAGGUGGUUUUGUAAGUCAGAUGUGAAAUCCCCGGGCUUAACCUGGGAACUGCGUUUGAAACUACAAGACUAGAGUGUAGCAGAGGGGGGUGGAAUUCCGCGUGUAGCAGUGAAAUGCGUAGAGAUGUGGAGGAACACCGAUGGCGAAGGCAGCCCCCUGGGUUAACACUGACACUCAGGCACGAAAGCAUGGGGAGCAAACAGGAUUAGAUACCCUGGUAGUCCAUGCCCUAAACGAUGUCAACUAGUUGUCGGGCCUUUGCGGGCUUGGUAACGUAGCUAACGCGUGAAGUUGACCGCCUGGGGAGUACGAUCGCAAGAUUAAAACUCAAAGGAAUUGACGGGGACCCGCACAAGCGGUGGAUUAUGUGGAUUAAUUCGAUGCAACGCGAAAAACCUUACCUA